CUAGGUUAGAGGCUGGGGGAGGUGCUGACCUUGAGAGCGCACGCGGGAGGCGCAGGCGCAGCACAGCUGCCCUUUCUUGGAGACUUUCCUUACAGACCUGUCCCUCUGUCGUCUCUGCUCCCUUCUUUAGUGGCUUUUCCAGCUCUAUCCUUCCUCAGGGCAGUGGAAUUUGUUCGACAUCUACCAGGAGCAGAGAAACCGGCAAGAGAAUUCUGCCUAUGUAAUACAUUCCAGUAUGGACGGUUUCCAUUUAGAUUAAAAAGUAUAUGUCAUCAGAUGGAAAAAAGUCAAACUCCCGUAUACCUUCUAAUGUUGUGCUGGUUUUUAUUUUCCAAAAGACAACUCCCAUAUACCCUCAAAAUGUUGUGUUGUUUUCUGUACCUAUAAACUCUCUCUCUGUCUUUUUAUUUGGUUAUACAUAGUACUAAUGACAGGCUUGAAGUGGAUAUACAGAGUACCUUUAACCCAGAAAUUCAUCCCACAAUUUAGGGAUCCUUGCUUAGUCCCAACUGUAUCU